GCUUGAUGCUGUAUCGGAAGUUCUCCAUUCAGAAUCUAGUGUGUUUGGUCAGAUAGAAAAUCAUCUACGUAAAUUGCCCGACAUAGAGAGGGGACUCUGUAGCAUUUAUCACAAAAAAUGUUCUACCCAAGAGUUCUUCUUGAUUGUCAAAACUUUAUAUCACCUAAAGUCAGAAUUUCAAGCAAUAAUACCUGCUGUUAAUUCCCACAUUCAGUCAGACUUGCUCCGGACCGUUAUUUUAGAAAUUCCUGAACUCCUCAGUCCAGUGGAGCAUUACUUAAAGAUACUCAAUGAACAAGCUGCCAAUUGGGGAUAAAACUGAAUUAUUUAAAGACCUUUCUGACUUCCCUUUAAUAAAAAAGAGGAAGGAUGAAAUUCAAGGUGUUAUUGACGAGAUCCGAAUGCAUUUGCAAGAA
rnacentral:lncRNA from 1 species